AGAAUCACAGAGUAUCUUUCUUUGGAAGAGACCUUCAAGAUCAUCUUCACUCCAGUUCUGCAAGGCCACCACUAAACCAUGACACAAUCCUGGCAGCAAUUGAAGCAAGUUGGAGAAACUCCACCUGGUCUAAGUGUCCCACAACCAAAUUGGCUGUGGGUUCCAGAAGAUGGUUCACUACCAGAUGGCAACUAAGAGUCCCUUGCAUUUCUCUUUGCAUUAAAGGAAAUAAAAACAUACACAAUUUUUUUUUA